rnacentral:rRNA from 3 species
UCCAGAGAUGGAUUGGUGCCUUCGGGAACUGUGAGACAGGUGCUGCAUGGCUGUCGUCAGCUCGUGUUGUGAAAUGUUGGGUUAAGUCCCGCAACGAGCGCAACCCUUAUCCUUUGUUGCCAGCGGUUAGGCCGGGAACUCAAAGGAGACUGCCAGUGAUAAACUGGAGGAAGGUGGGGAUGACGUCAAGUCAUCAUGGCCCUUACGACCAGGGCUACACACGUGCUACAAUGGCAUAUACAAAGAGAAGCGACCUCGCGAGAGCAAGCGGACCUCAUAAAGUAUGUCGUAGUCCGGAUUGGAGUCUGCAACUCGACUCCAUGAAGUCGGAAUCGCUAGUAAUCGUAGAUCAGAAUGCUACGGUGAAUACGUUCCCGGGCCUUGUACACACCGCCCGUCACACCAUGGGAGUGGGUUGCAAAAGAAGUAGGUAGCUUAACCUUCGGGAGGGCGCUUACCACUUUGUGAUUCAUGACUGGGGUGAAGUCGUAACAAGGUAACCGUAGGGGAACCUGCGGUUGGAUCACCUCCUUA